rnacentral:rRNA from 1 species
CAGCAGCCGCGGUAAUACGGAGGGUGCAAGCGUUAAUCGGAAUUACUGGGCGUAAAGCGCACGCAGGCGGUCUGUCAAGUUAGAUGUGAAAUCCCCGGGCUUAACCUGGGAACUGCAUUUGAAACUGGCAGGCUAGAGUCUUGUAGAGGGGGGUAGAAUUCCAGGUGUAGCGGUGAAAUGCGUAGAGAUCUGGAGGAAUACCGGUGGCGAAGGCGGCCCCCUGGACAAAGACUGACGCUCAGGUGCGAAAGCGUGGGGAGCAAACAGGAUUAGAGACCCGCGUAGUCCCUGUCUCUUAUAA